rnacentral:rRNA from 1 species
UGGGGAAUAUUGCACAAUGGGCGAAAGCCUGAUGCAGCGACGCCGCGUGAGGGAUGACGGCCUUCGGGUUGUAAACCUCUUUCAGCAGGGAAGAAGCGAAAGUGACGGUACCUGCAGAAGAAGCGCCGGCUAACUACGUGCCAGCAGCCGCGGUAAUACGUAGGGCGCAAGCGUUGUCCGGAAUUAUUGGGCGUAAAGAGCUCGUAGGCGGUUAGUCGCGUCUGCUGUGAAAACUCGAGGCUCAACCUCGGGCUUGCAGUGGGUACGGGCUGACUAGAGUGCGGUAGGGGUGACUGGAAUUCCUGGUGUAGCGGUGGAAUGCGCAGAUAUCAGGAGGAACACCGAUGGCGAAGGCAGGUCACUGGGCCGCAACUGACGCUGAGGAGCGAAAGCAUGGGGAGCGAACAGGAUUAGAUACCCUGGUAGUCCAUGCCGUAAACGUUGGGCACUAGGUGUGGGGUCCAUUCCACGGAUUCCGUGCCGCAGCAAACGCAUUAAGUGCCCCGCCUGGGGAGUACGGCCGCAAGGCUAAAACUUAAAUGAAUUG